ACGACCUCAAAUCAGACGAGACGACCUGCUGAAUUUAAGCAUAUUACUAAGCGGAGGAAAAGAAACUAACCAGGAUUCCCUCAGUAGCGGCGAGUGAAGAGGGAAGAGC
rnacentral:rRNA from 1 species